UGCUGUUUGACAGGUUUGAUGUUUUGUAAGUUAAUUAGUUAAUUGACAGUUUGAGGUAUGUUAGGUCAGCUGCUGCUGCAUAUAAUGGCUGAUCCAUUCCGCUUUGAGUUCAUCCUUCUCCCUCUUCGUUUUUGCUGGUCUAGCUCAAGUAAAGACAGAGCUAAAAAAUCUGCUCACCACAUAGCUGGGACAAUACUUUGGGGCAAUGCAGCGAUCCAGCAAAACUGCAUGAAGUGCAAUGAAAUGAAGGGCCUCGAUCAUAAUAUGGACCAUCAAGUAGAUUUCCAAGAGUUUAUCACCGUGGUGACCUACAUUACCGUACUGUACAAUGACGUGCUUACACAGGCUGUGAAGAAAUAAAUGGGCAAUGCAAACAGUACAUAACACACACACCAAUAAUAUAUACAUAUAUUGGUUGUUUAAUACACAGAAAGACAUGUUUGGCAUCUUACAAUGAUAAAUGCAUGAGGCAAAAAAAAAACAUUUGAAAUAAACUUAAUAUGUUUUAAAGAUUGAUGGUGAUCUUGUUUAAAAUGUGUGUGGAUGUUGUUUGUUUGUUGUGUUUGUAUUUCCAGAGGUAGCAAACAGAAGAACAGCAAAUCAAGGGCAUAUUUUAAAUAAAACAUUUGAACAUAAUCACUGAGAGACGCCGAAACUGCUCCACUGAUGGACAUAAAUCAAUAUAUUGGUUUGUAAUAAUAAUUUCCAAAAAUGAGGCCUGCAGAGUGUAGAUUGUAAAGUGGAUCAAAGAUCAGAC